rnacentral:rRNA from 1 species
GACGAACGCUGGCGGCGUGCCUAAUACAUGCAAGUCGAGCGGACUUGACUGAAAAGCUUGCUUUUUCAGUUCAAGUCAGCGGCGGACGGGUGAGUAACACGUGGGCAACCUGCCCUGCAGAUUGGGAUAACUCCGGGAAACCGGGGCUAAUACCGAAUAAUAUCGAAGAUUUCAUGAUCUUCUUUUGAAAGACGGCUUACGCUGUCACUGCAGGAUGGGCCCGCGGCGCAUAGCUAGUUGGUGAGGUAACGGCUCACCAAGGCGACGAUGCGUAGCCGACCUGAGAGGGUGAUCGGCCACACUGGGACUGAGACACGGCCCAGACUCCUACGGGAGGCAGCAGUGGGGAAUUGUUCGCAAUGGGCGAAAGCCUGACGACGCAACGCCGCGUGGGGGAUGAAGGUCUUCGGAUUGUAAACCCCU